rnacentral:lncRNA from 1 species
AUCCAAGGCUAAACUCAUUUUCAGGACGCAGAAGGCUCUGGCCUUACCUUUUGAGUCAGGACGUUGCACUUUGACAGAAGGCUCUGGAAGGAAACUUUAAAGGGAGCCUUCCAGAGGGAAAUGCGGUGUUGGGGGGUUUUAAGUGGAAGAUAUGUGAACACCCAGUGGGCUGGAUGGCUGUCCCUGCUACAAGUCUGUGAUGUCUCCGUCCAGUGGCAGAGCUGGAAGGCAGGUGCUGUCGGGGCUGCAUCUAUCUGCCUUGUUCACCAGCAUAGGCCUAAAACCAUGGAGGAGGUGCUUUGGCUUAGAUCCCCACUUGCCCUGUGUGUGUAAGAGGCUCUCAGGCACCUUAAUGCUACAUCACCAACCAAACCUCCUGAUGAUUCUUUUAGGUUCUCCGUUUCCAGGCAGAUUUACUUCUGUAGCCUGACUUCUGUAGACGUUUGUAUUGUUUACAUCUACUGUGUGCAAUGUAAGGUGGUAACAGUAUCACCAGUGAAGUUGGUGCACACAGCAGGGCCCAAACUGACAUCUCACAGCACCCAGCAGGUCACUGUGGGCAUGAUAGGAUGACGGGUCACUGUUCCAGCCCUGAAGGAGUUCAAGUCCAGAUAGGGGAAGGUGGUGGACCAGACCCAGACAGAGAUUCUGAGUCGCUGCUGAGACUGGUGAGGGUAGUGGGUGCAUGGGAGGACAUAUCGCCCGGCAGCCCAGGGCUGGAGUCCACACUCAGGUUGGGGCAGCCUGGUCUGCCUCUCCUGCAGGAGACUUUUCCAGGCAGGCUUGUCCCUCCAGAAUGCACGAAUCAAAUCCUCUCAGGAUCAGUCUCAUUUUCCUCGUGCUGGGGGAGCAGGCUACUCACAGAAGAUGUUGUUGCAAAUGUAAGAAUCACAUGUCGAUCCACAAACUGGCAUUGAGCAGCUACCUAGGAGAUCAAAGAAACUCUUACUUUGGGAGCUCCUGCCAGGGCUCUUUGGGAGGUCUGGCUAGCUCUGGAGGAAGAGAAUGAACUUGGGGAGGGCGUGGAACAGAUGAGGACGCAGGCACUGCCAUUCAAAGAGGAGAGGUCUCCCGGACAGGGCUGGCCUGGGCAGGCCCAGGGAGGGUGGGGCUGGAGCAGGGACUUGAAAAAGGGAGAGGGCUCAGGAGACUCAGAGGAGGAGGAAAGUGUGUGAGCAGUAGGCAGGGU